AACAUCUAAUAGUUUAACAACCUCUUUCCUAACCACUUCCUUCAUUGCGGGAUUUAGUCUUCUUUGGGGUUGCACCACUGGUUUGUGACCAUCCUCCAUGAGAAUUUUAUGCAUACAAAAAACAUCUAAUAGUUUAACAACCUCUUUCCUAACCACUUCCUUCAUUGCGGGAUUUAGUCUUCUUUGGGGUUGCACCACUGGUUUGUGACCAUCCUCCAUGAGAAUUUUAUGCAUACAAACCGUAGGGAUAAUUCCCUUCAAGUCUUCUAUCGCACAUCCCAUUUCACUUUUGUGCUUUUUCAGAACCUUGACCAGCUUAUCUUCUUG
rnacentral:lncRNA from 1 species